rnacentral:snRNA from 1 species
AUACUUACCUGGCAGGGGAAACACCAUGAUCAGGAAGGUGGUUUUCCCAGGGCGAGGUUCACCCAUUGCACUGCGGGUGUGCUGACCUCUGCGAUUUCCCCAAAUGCGGGAAACUCGACUGCGUAAUUUGUGGUAGUGGGGGACUGCGUUCGCGCUCUCCCC